AAGAAAUGAAAGAUACCAUCUAGAAACUGUCAGCUGAUGCCAACACACCGCGAAAGAGUUGCUAGUCAGACCAUUUUACGAGUGAAAAAAAAUAGGCUAGAAAAGUGCUCCAAGAUAAUGAGGUGCGAAAUGCCCUGGAGGACCCAGGACAGUCAAAUACAUGCAACCUCAGAACUUCAG
rnacentral:lncRNA from 1 species